rnacentral:lncRNA from 1 species
UUCCUCGUCGUCCGACUCCAGCAGGCUGAGAUUGAAAUUUGGAGUCAUCUUUUUGAUCUUCUCCUUGAUAACAGUGAUCCCCUUCUCGAACGAGGCUACAUCGAAGUCAGCCUUGAUGUCGCGAAACUCAUCUGAGGAUUUGAAGGCCUCGACCGCGGCGGCCUUGGCAGCCUUCAGCUCAUCCUCGUGCUUCUUUUUUUCAACUGCAAGCCGAGCAUCAAAGUCAGCUAGAGCUUUCAAAAGCUCAGACUCCUGUCGCCUAACCUCCGAUCCUCCAGUGACUUGACUUUUUCCUCGGCUUAAGCUUAGCAAGAUGGGUGUCGUCCGCCCUCCUGCUGGCCUAGCCGACCUUCUCCUUGGCUUCCUUUAAAAUUCAUCGAGCUUCGUGCAUCACCUUGGUGUACUAGAAUCUGUCAUCAUCGAGCAACUUGAAGAAGAUCGUCGCUUACCCAAAUUAGUGAGUCGUAUGCAUCAUGCAUACGAAAGGCACCUCCUUC